GAUGAACGCUGGCGGCGUGCCUAACACAUGCAAGUCGAGCGGACAGACGAGGCUUUUGCUUGGCUGACGUUAGCGGCGGGCGGGUGAGUAACACGAGUAUAACUGACAUAUAAGACUGGGAUAACUACGGGAACGCGGAUAUAACACCGGAUAAUAUAUUGAACCGCAGGGUUCAUUGGAGAAAGACGGAUUUGCUGUCACUAAUUGAGGGUUCCGGGCCGUAUUAGCUAGUUGGUACGGUAACGGCCUACCAAGGCUACGAUGCGUAGCCGAACUGAGAGGGUGAUCAGCCACACUGGAACUGAGACACGGUCCAGACUCCUACGGGAGGCAGCAGUAGGGAAUCUUAGGCAAUGGGCGAAAGCCUGACGCAGCCACGCCGCGUGUGUGAUGAAGGUCUUCGGAUCGUAAAGCUCUGUUAUUUGGGAAGAACAGCUGUGUAAGUAAACAUGGCCGUCUUGACGGUACCUAAUCAAAAAGCACCGGCUAACUACGUG
rnacentral:rRNA from 1 species